AAUGAACGCUGGCGGCAUGCCUAACACAUGCAAGUCGAGCGCCCCGCAAGGGGAGCGGCAGACGGGAGAGUAACACGUGGGAACGUACCCUUCGGUUCGGAACAACCCAGGGAAACUUGGGCUAAUACCGGAUACGUCCGAAAGGAGAAAGAUUUAUCGCCGAAGGAUCGGCCCGCGUCUGAUUAGCUAGUUGGUGGGGUAAUGGCUCACCAAGGCGACGAUCAGUAGCUGGUCUGAGAGGAUGAUCAGCCUCACUGGGACUGAGACACGGCCCAGACUCCUACGGGAGGCAGCAGUGGGGAAUAUUGGACAAUGGGCGCAAGCCUGAUCCAGCCAUGCCGCGUGGGUGAUGAAGGCCCUAGGGUUGUAAAGCCCUUUCGGCGGGGAAGAUAAUGACGGUACCCGCAGAAGAAGCCCCGGCUAACUUCGUGCCAGCCGCCGCGGUAA
rnacentral:rRNA from 1 species